AACGAACGCUGGCGGCAUGCCUAACACAUGCAAGUCGAACGAAGUGGCGCACGGGUGCGUAACGCGUGGGAAUCUGCCCUUGGUUCGGACUAACAGCGAGAAAUUGCUGCUAAUAUCGGAUGCCUGAGGAUGAGCCCGCGUUGGAUUAGGGAGUUGGUGGGGUAAAGGCCUACCAAGCCGACGAUCCAUAGCUGGUCUGAGAGGAUGAUCAGCCACACUGGGACUGAGACACGGCCCAGACUCCUACGGGAGGGAGCAGGGGGGAAGAUGGGACAAUGGGCGAAAGCGUGAUCCAGCAAGGCAGGGGGAGUGAGGAAGGCCUUAGGGUAGUAAAGCUCUUUUACACGGGGUGCAGUACCGGGAGAAUAAGCUCCGGCUAACUCCGUGCCAGCAGCCGCGGUAAUAC
rnacentral:rRNA from 1 species